GGGUCAGUAGGUUGGUCGUGCCACCGGUACGUACUGGUCUCACUGAUUCCUCCCUCCUGAAGAACCGUAAUGCCAUUAAUUUGGUGUUGCGGGGAAACAGGACUGUUACUUAGAAAAAAUUAGAGUGUUUAAAGCAAGCUAACGCUUGAAUACAUUAGCAUGGAAUAAUGAAAUAGGACGAUCGAUCCUAUUUUGUUGGUUUCUAGGAUUGACGUA
rnacentral:rRNA from 1 species